AACGAACGCUGGCGGCAGGCUUAACACAUGCAAGUCGAACGCCCCGCAAGGGGAGUGGCAGACGGGUGAGUAACGCGUGGGAAUCUACCGUACCCUACGGAACAACAGUUGGAAACGACUGCUAAUACCGUAUACGCCCUUAGGGGGAAAGAUUUAUCGGGGUAUGAUGAGCCCGCGUUGGAUUAGCUAGUUGGUGGGGUAAAGGCCUACCAAGGCGACGAUCCAUAGCUGGUCUGAGAGGAUGGUCAGCCACAUUGGGACUGAGACACGGCCCAAACUCCUACGGGAGGCAGCAGUGGGGAAUAUUGGACAAUGGGCGCAAGCCUGAUCCAGCCAUGCCGCGUGAGUGAUGAAGGUCUUAGGAUUGUAAAGCUCUUUCACCGGUGAAGAUAAUGACGGUAACCGGAGAAGAAGCCCCGGCUAACUUCGUGCCAGCAGCCGCGUAACAC
rnacentral:rRNA from 1 species